rnacentral:misc_RNA from 1 species
AGCUCCCCUUCCUCUGAGAAAUUGCGAAAUCAACCAACAGAGGCGGCGAAUAGAAAUGAGCAGGAGCAACGUAAAUUUAGUGUUCUACGCUGAUUCAUAUCAUCCGAUUCAAGUAGGAAGCAUCGACGGCACCGAUAUUGUCCCCCACGACAACGGCGUUUACCGUGCUUUGCUCUGCUCCUCUGCUGGCCUCUAUGAUCCCUUCGGCGACC